rnacentral:rRNA from 1 species
UACGAAGGGGGCUAGCGUUGCUCGGAAUCACUGGGCGUAAAGGGUGCGUAGGCGGGUCUUUAAGUCAGGGGUGAAAUCCCGAGGCUCAACCUCGGAACUGCCUUUGAUACUGGCGAUCUUCGAGUCCGGGAGAGGUGAGUGGAACUCCGAGUGUAGAGGUGAAAUUCGUAGAUAUUCGGAAGAACACCAGUGGCGAAGGCGGCUCACUGGCCCGGUACUGACGCUCAGGUGCGAAAGCGUGGGGAGCAAACAGG